UCUGAUAUGGAAACUAAAAUCAUUCGUCAAUUUCUUUUAUUAACUGCGUUAAAAAGUGUUUCUUUGGCAAUGCUAAGAACAAAUAUAUUAAAAGCAGUACUGGUAUCAGACUUAAAUGGAUUUUUUGAAUAUUCAGCUUCAUUGGAAAAUACACCUGCACUUUCACUUAAUGAAUGUACAAUGAAUUGCAAUAAUAACGAUCGCUGUGUUUCUUUCUUUUACAACUCGCGAUCGGAUACAGGCGAGUGUGUUUUGCAUUCUAAGCGUUUUUAUUCGAAUGAACCUCCGAGUGGAACUGGCGUGUAUUGGAAAUAUUUUGUGGCAACUGGUGCUACAGUCACCUGUUAUGCAGAACAUAUUUACUAUAGGCAACUUCAAUUUUGCUACAGCAUACAUGAAAGUGAUCCAAUAGAUUUUACACAGAUCAAAGCAUUCUGCUCAUCAAGAGGUGGAGAACUUGCUGCGGUUUCCUCAGAUGAAAUGAACAGCUACUUCAAAGAAUUUCUAGAUGAAAGACCCCACAUAAGGGUUUGUAUAGCAGGAGAAGAGCAACAAGAUGGGAGUUGGGCAUUAGAAGAUGGCACCACUAUGUCAUAUUUCAACUGGUACCCUGGACAACCAGAAUCAGGAAAUCAGGGGUGUAUUGUCAUCAAAGCUACAUCACUUGGUGACAUGUGGAUGGAUGCCUCAUGUGCAUAUUCAAAGAGUUGUUCAUUUGUGUGUGAAUAUUAAUUUGUGUACAUACUUGUGACAGAGCUAAUAUUUUGUUUAGAAAAAUAAGUGACUAAAAAGAAUAACAUCAUACUAGAAAAGUAUUCUUAUGCCCCUUGUUGAAGCAUAUAUUUUAAUUGUCGAAAAGCAAUAAAUCUAAUAUUAUCUUUGUAGGUUCUUAAUUUUUUGAUAAAUAUCUUACAAAAAACGUAGGUAUGAGAACACUCUCAAUGCAAUUUUCAAUAUAAUUGUUAUUUCCAAGGGGCAUUAUUCCUGUAAAAAUAGUUGAAUAGCGCUGAAUAUCGAAUACGUCCAAGACCUUGAUAAUAUAAACCAUUCAUAUAAAUUUCAAGAAAUGUAGGUGUGAUAGUGUUUACAAUGAAAUUUUCUAUAUAAAUUAUAUUUAUAUUUCAAAGAACAUUUCAACCCGCUUGCUUGCACCUGUCCCAAGUCAGGAACCUGAUGUUCAGUGGUGGUCGUUUGUUGAUGUGGUUCAUAAGUGUUUCUCGUUUCUCAUUGUUUAUAUAGAUUAGACCAUUGGUUUUCCUGUUUGAAUGGUUUUACACUAGUCAUUUUUGGAGCCCUUUAUAGCUUGCUGUUCGGUGUGAGCCAAGGCUCUGUGUUCAAGGCCAUACUUUGACCUAUAAUGGUUUACUUUUACUAAUUGUGACUUGGAUGGAGAGUUGUCUCAUUGGCACUCAUACCACAUCUUCUAAUAUCUAUGUAAUUCAUGUAAAAAUAGUUGCUCUGAACUGAUUUUUGAACUCAUCCAAGACAUUCCUGAUGUAAAGCUUUGAUUUAAUUUUCAUAAAAAUCUGACACGUAAUAUUGUUUACUUAGUUAAAGAGUAUUCAUAAUGCUAUUUCCAAAUAGAAUUUACUUUUCCAAGAGAUAAACUCUUUUAAAAACAGUUGAUUAGCACUGGCGUUUCAAACUUGUCCAAGACAUUGUUGGUAUAUUAACCUUUGAUAUAAAUUGCAUAAAAACCUACAAGAAAUUCUAGCUAGAGAGCACUUACAUUGUACAAUGAAAUUUUCUGUAUAAUUUAUAUUUUCAAGGGAAUAACUUUUUAAAAAAUAGUAAAUUGGCACUGAUUUUGGAACUAUCCCCAGAAAUUACAAGAACAUGUGCUUAACACAUUUUUUCAUGAAUAUAGCCUUAGAUUUAUUCAAAUUUAUGCCAAGCAUCUUUUAAAAAAAAUAGCCAUUUGUUGUCAAAUAAAAACAACUCUGAAUGAAAACAGUGAAGUCUUUUCUGGAAUUUAAUAGAGUUUAUUUCCAGAAACAAAGUAACAAGGGAAUUUAAAUUUCAAGGUUAAAGUACAGCUGCAUUGUAUUUUAUCUGCCUGUUCAAAAUAAACAGGUAAAUUUGGAAUUUUAUGGCAUAAAAUAUCAUACUACAUAUAUCUAUAUAAAUCCGAAUUCCUUUUGUAUUUGUAAAGUUACAUAUGUAUAUGCAAAUUCAUGUUGUUCAAUACAACUGCACUCGCAUUUCAACACACAAUAAAAUAAGUAAAUAAAUA